AUUGAACGCUGGCGGUAUGCUUAACACAUGCAAGUCGAACGGUAACAGGCCUUCGGGCGCUGACGAGUGGCGGACGGGUGAGUAACGCGUAGGAAUCUGCCUCAUAGUGGGGGGCAACGUGGGGAAACUCACGCUAAUACCGCAUACGCCCUACGGGGGAAAGCGGGGGAUCUUCGGACCUCGCGCUAUGAGAUGAGCCUGCGUUAGAUUAGCUAGUUGGUAGGGUAAAGGCCUACCAAGGCGACGAUCUAUAGCUGGUCUGAGAGGACGAGCAGCCACGCAGGGACUGAGACACGGCCCAGACUCCUGCGGGAGGCAGCAGUGGGUAUGAUUGGACAAUGGGCGCAAGCCUGAUCCAGCAAGACCGCGUGUGUGAAGAAGGCCCUAGGGUUGUAAAGCACUUUCAAUUGAGAGGAAAACCUGCCGGUCAAUACCCGGCAGCUUGACAUUACCUUUAGAAGAAGCACCGGCUAACUCCGUGCCAGCAGCCGCAGUAAAAC
rnacentral:rRNA from 1 species